rnacentral:rRNA from 1 species
CCUACGGGUGGCUGCAGUGAGGAAUAUUGGUCAAUGGGCGGAAGCCUGAACCAGCCACGCAGCGUGCAGGAUGACGGCCCUACGGGUUGUAAACUGUUUUUAUACGGGAAUAACGCGCCUUACGUGUAGGGCUUUGCAUGUACCGUAUGAAUAAGGACCGGCUAAUUCCGUGCCAGCAGCCGCGGUAAUACGGUAGGUCCGGGCGUUAGCCGGAUUUUGUGGGUGUAAAGGGAGCGUAGGCGGCAUGUCAAGCGUGCUGUGAAAUGUCAGGGCUCAACCCGGGCCUUGCAGCGGGAAUUGGCGUGCUUGAGUCCGCGGAAAGCAGGCGGAAUUCGUGGUGUAGGGGUGAAAUGCUUAGAUAUGACGAAGAACCCCGGUUGCGAAGGCAGCUUGCUGGAGCGGAACUGACGCUGAUGCUCGAAAGCGCGGGUAUCGAACAGGAUUAGAUACCCCUGUAGUC